rnacentral:rRNA from 1 species
AACGAACGUUAGCGGUGUGGAUUAGGCAUGCAAGUCGAGCGCGAAAGUCCGCAAGGACGAGUAAAGCGGCGAAAGGGUGAGUAACACGUAACCAAUCUAUCCACGAGACCGGAAUAACCGGCGGAAACGCUGGCUAAUGCCGGAUGGUCCUGUCGGGAGGCAUCUCCCGACACGUAAACGGUGGCGCAAGCUGCUGCUCGAGGAGGGGGUUGCGGGCUAUCAGCUAGUUGGUGGGGAACGGCCUACCAAGGCGAUGACGGCUAGCUGGUCUGAGAGGACGACCAGCCACACUGGGACUGAGACACUGCCCAGACUCCUACGGGAGGCUGCAGUCGAGGAUCUUCCGCAAUGGGCGAAAGCCUGACGGAGCGACACCGCGUACAGGAUGAAGGCCUGGUU